AGAUCUUUCGGGAUCUUGAGAGCGGCGUACGGGUGCGGAACACGUGUGCAACCUGCCUUUAUCUGGGGGAUAGCCUUUCGAAAGGAAGAUUAAUACCCCAUAAUAUACUGGAUGGCACCAUUCGGUAUUGAAAACUCCGGUGGAUAGAGAUGGGCACGCGCAAGAUUAGAUAGUUGGUGAGGUAACGGCUCACCGAGUCUACGAUCUUUAGGGGGCCUGAGAGGGUGAUCCCCCACACUGGUACUGAGACACGGACCAGACUCCUACGGGAGGCAGCAGUGAGGAAUAUUGGACAAUGGGUGAGAGCCUGAUCCAGCCAUCCCGCGUGAAGGACGACGGCCCUAUGGGUUGUAAACUUCUUUUGUAUAGGGAUAAACCUACCCUCGUGAGGGUAGCUGAAGGUACUAUACGAAUAAGCACCGGCUAACUCCGUGCCAGCAGCCGCGGUAAUACGGAGGGUGCAAGCGUUAUCCGGACUUAUUGGGUUUAAAGGGUCCGUAGGCGGAUCUGUAAGUCAGUGGUGAAAUCUCACAGCUUAACUGUGAAACUGCCAUUGAUACUGCAGGUCUUGAGUGUUGUUGAAGUAGCUGGAAUAAGUAGUGUAGCGGUGAAAUGCAUAGAUAUUACUUAGAACACCAAUUGCGAAGGCAGGUUACUAAGCAACAACUGACGCUGAUGGACGAAAGCGUGGGGAGCGAACAGGAUUAGAUACCCUGGUAGUCCACGCCGUAAACGAUGCUAACUCGUUUUUGGAAUGUAAGUUUCAGAGACUAAGCGAAAGUGAUAAGUUAGCCACCUGGGGAGUACGAACGCAAGUUUGAAACUCAAAGGAAUUGACGGGGGCCCGCACAAGCGGUGGAUUAUGUGGUUUAAUUCGAUGAUACGCGAGGAACCUUACCAAGGCUUAAAUGGGAAAUGACAGGUUUAGAAAUAGACUUUUCUUCGGACAUUUUUCAAGGUGCUGCAUGGUUGUCGUCAGCUCGUGCCGUGAGGUGUUAGGUUAAGUCCUGCAACGAGCGCAACCCCUGUCACUAGUUGCCAUCAUUAAGUUGGGGACUCUAGUGAGACUGCCUACGCAAGUAGAGAGGAAGGUGGGGAUGACGUCAAAUCAUCACGGCCCUUACGCCUUGGGCCACACACGUAAUACAAUGGCCGGUACAGAGGGCAGCUACACUGCGAAGUGAUGCAAAUCUCGAAAGCCGGUCUCAGUUCGGAUUGGAGUCUGCAACUCGACUCUAUGAAGCUGGAAUCGCUAGUAAUCGCGCAUCAGCCAUGGCGCGGUGAAUACGUUCCCGGGCCUU
rnacentral:rRNA from 1 species